CUCGUAGGCGGUUCGUCGCGUCCGGUGUGAAAGUCCAUCGCCUAACGGUGGAUCUGCGCCGGGUACGGGCGGGCUGGAGUGCGGUAGGGGAGACUGGAAUUCCCGGUGUAACGGUGGAAUGUGUGGAUAUCGGGAAGAGCACCAAUGGCGAAGGCAGGUCUCUGGGCCGUUACUGACGCUGAGGAGCGAAAGCGUGGGGAGCGAACA
rnacentral:rRNA from 1 species